CCCUUAGAUGUCCUGGGCCGCACGCGCGUUACACUGAUGCAUUCAACGAGCUUAUAACCUUGGCCGAGAGGCCUGGGCAAUCUUGUUAACGUGCAUCGUGAUAGGGAUAGAUUAUUGAAAUUAUUAAUCUUGAACGAGGAAUUCCCAGUAAGCGCAAGUCAUCAGCUUGUGUUGAUUACGUCCCUGCCCUUUGUACACACCGCCCGUCGCUACUACCGAUUGAAUGGUUUAGUGAGACCCUCGGAUUCGUCCCAGCACAGUGGGUUUCUGCUGAGCUGGUGCGCGGAGAAGACGGUCGAACUUGAUCAUUUAGAGGAAGUAAAAGUCGUAACA
rnacentral:rRNA from 1 species